UUUAGACACCGAUUGAUGGAAAAAACAUCAACAGCUAUGUCAUUCACCCUCACCUCUCAGCUGGGACAGUUCAGAUGCAGCUGUGGAAGAGGAUGUUUCUCUAGUUCCGGGAAGCCUGCCUGAGAGCAUUGCACAUGCGGCAGGCACUGGUGGUACAAGCAUGUGAGUGCAGAUACCCUCCAGAAGAGGGUGUAAGUCCCUUGGAACUGGAGUUACAGGUGCUGGGAACUAAACUCCAGUCCUCGGUGAGAGUAGUGAGCAGGCUUAAAAGAUGAAGCAUUCCCCUUUCUGCCGACUCAUCACAGACCAGACCAGAGUCCUCAUCCAGUGGCUGAUGGAAGCAGAGACAGACAUCCACAGAAAUACACUGAGCUGAAAUCUGGAACCUAGUUGAAGAGAGGGAGGAAUGAAGAACGAAGGGGUCUGUACCAGGUUGGAGAAACCCACAGAAACAGUUGGCCUGAAAAAGGGAAAGCAUAUGGACCCCAGACGCUCUUUGGGAGGCCAGUACGGGACUAAUCCAGCCCCUGAUCAUGGAUGCCAAUGGGGAGGCCCCUGCACUCCUGGGAGCCUCCGGAGGUGGACUGGUGUUUUGCCCUGUUGUGUGUGGGGGACUUCAAGAGCCCAUCCCACUUGAAGGGAUGCACUCUGUCUCUGAACACAUAGGGAGGGACCUAGGCCCAGCACAGGAAGAUUUGGUGGACUUGAUGGAGCCCUGGUUGGGGGCCCUACCCUGCCUGGGGAGUGGUGGG
rnacentral:lncRNA from 1 species